rnacentral:tRNA from 1 species
GCCGAAGCCGGUCUGGCGGGCGGUGUCCGCCUGAAAAGCGGAAGGUCGCCGGUUCGACCCCGGCCCCAGCC